GUGACUGUAGGAAGUCUGUCUAGGUCAAGUUAUUACAAUAGAAUGAAAGGUGUCAGUGACUGUAGGAAGUCUGUCUAGGUCAAGUUAUUACAAUAGAAUGAAAGGUGUCAGUGACUGUAGGAAGUCUGUCUAGGUCAAGUUAUUACAAUAGAAUGAAAGCUGUCAGUGACUGUAGGAAGUCUGUCUAGGUCAAGUUAUUUCAAUUGAAUGAAAGGUGUCAGUGACUGUAGCAAGUCUGUCUAGGUCAAGUUAUUACAAUAGAAUGAAAGGUGUCAGUGACUGUAGGAAGUCUGUCUAGGUCAAGUUAUUACAAUAGAAUGAAAGGUGUCAGUGACUGUAGGAAGUCUGUCUAGGUCAAGUUAUUACAAUAGAAUGAAAGCUGUCAGUGACUGUAGGAAGUCUGUCUAGGUCAAGUUAUUUCAAUUGAAUGAAAGGUGUCAGUGACUGUAGCAAGUCUGUCUAGGUCAAGUUAUUACAAUAGAAUGAAAGGUGUCAGUGACUGUAGGAAGUCUGUCUAGGUCAAGUUAUUACAAUAGAAUGAAAGGUGUCAGUGACUGUAGGAAGUCUGUCUAGGUCAAGUUAUUUCAAUUGAAUGAAAGGUGUCAGUGACUGUAGCAAGUCUGUCUAGGUCAAGUUAUUACAAUAGAAUGAAAGGUGUCAGUGACUGUAGGAAGUCUGUCUAGGUCAAGUUAUUACAAUAGAAUGAAAGGUGUCAGUGACUGUAGGAAGUCUGUCUAGGUCAAGUUAUUACAAUAGAAUGAAAGCUGUCAGUGACUGUAGGAAGUCUGUCUAGGUCAAGUUAUUUCAAUUGAAUGAAAGGUGUCAGUGACUGUAGCAAGUCUGUCUAGGUCAAGUUAUUACAAUAGAAUGAAAGGUGUCAGUGACUGUAGGAAGUCUGUCUAGGUCAAGUUAUUACAAUAGAAUGAAAGGUGUCAGUGACUGUAGGAAGUCUGUCUAGGUCAAGUUAUUUCAAUUGAAUGAAAGGUGUCAGUGACUGUAGGAAGUCUGUCUAGGUCAAGUUAUUACAAUAGAAUGAAAGGUGUCAGUGACUGUAGGAAGUCUGUCUAGGUCAAGUUAUUACAAUAGAAUGAAAGGUGUCAGUGACUGUAGGAAGUCUGUCUAGGAAUUGUUUAUUACAAUGCAUAUUGUUUUUCCUUGAUCAUUAAAAAAAAAAAAAUGGCAUCUUACACUUUCAAGCUUUAGGACCUAACUGUUAAAUCGCGGUAAUUCCUUGGUGCUGAAUCCGCUUGUUGCCAUGGCUAUUAGCCUGUUAGUUUGUUUACCUUUCGCGUGGCAAAGUCACUAACAGGCCAUAACCACAGUGAUAGUAGGUGAAUAUUAUUAUAACGUUUGGGCAACGUCCAACUGUCCAUGGCUCAAACAUGCAGAGCAUUUUCAAAAUGAGACUGAAAUGUGUGUAGAUGGAUGUUUCCACAUUGAAGCCAAUAAAAAAAAAGAGAUUAUAUUGUUGUUAUAACUAGACCUAUUGGAGGGUUACUGUCUGCUAUUUAAUCAUCUAUAUUCAGUGAAUAGAAGAGCCCUUAGGUCUAUGUGUGCACCGAGUGCCUUAUGCUCAUGGAACGAGAGUCCUUUCAGCUGCUGCUCAGUGCACUAACACAGAACCCAACCAUCGUGCGUAAAUGUAUUUUGUCCCCCCACACCAAACGCGAUCACGACACGCAGGUUAAAAUAUCAAAACAAACUCUGAACCAAUGACAUUCAUUUGGGGACAGGUCGAAAAGCAUUAAACAUUUAUGGUAAUUUAGCUAGCUAGCUUGCACUUGCUAGCUAAUUUGUCCUAUUUAGCUAGCUUGCUGUUGCUAGCUAAUUUGUCCUGGGAUAUAAACAUUGAGUUGUUAUUUUACCUGAAAUGCACAAGGUCCUCUACUCUGACAAUUAAUCCACACAUAAAAUGGUCAACCGAAUCAUUUCUAGUUAUCUCUCCUCCUUCCAGGCUUUUUCUUCUUUGAACUUAUAUGGUGAUGGGCAUCUAAACUUUCAUAGUAUUACAACGACAACACAGUUUGUCUUUCAAGCACCCACGUGGGUAUAACCACUGAAGGAGAUGGCACUUGGGUAUCUGCUUCUAUGAACCAAUGAGAAGAUGGAAGAGGCAGGAUUUGCAGCGUAAUCUGCGUAAUCUGCUCGUUGACGAGCGCCAGCAGUGUCGUCAAAGGUGUUUUGAGAAAUACGUUUCCAGAGGGGCGUCGAAAACACUGUCUUAAUGUAUUUACUUUUAUUUAACUAGGCAAGUCAGUUAAAAUCAAAUUACGAUGAUGGCCUAUGUAGCCUCAGCCAUAUAAACAUUAUUGUUGUUUAAAAAAACUGAUUGAUUGUUUUUCGUUUUAAUUUGAUACAUUUUUUAUUUAUUUUUUAGAAAGAUUCACCUUCCAUGGGUUUAUUUAGUCUGCUAUUCCUGGAGAAGUGCAAAUAUGAUCUGUAAGACGGUUCCAUGAUGUUUAUAAAACAUUACAUUUGCGAGUGGUACACCGGUCAGUGGAUGUUCCCCCUUACUCGUUAUAUUGGAUAUUUAUCCAGCUCCUGUGAAAACUUUGGAUGUGUGUAAAACCCUCCAUAGUCUAAAAAGCUUUGUCUGUAUUAUAUGCCCUACGCCCUCGGGAGUAAUGACGGUGCCUGUAACUAUAUUUAUAGACAUGGCCUAUUUAAAACAAGUUGUUUUGGGUUUUAAUUAGAACUUGAUUGGAAUUAUACACUGUAUUGUUCGGCCUUAUCAAUAACCUAGGGAUUUUACGUUUGGCAUGUCCAUGUCUAGACUGCAAUUUACACUAGGUCUAGUCCCUAUAUCAGCGCGAAUAGUAUUUAGCCUAUUUUUAACAACCUAUUUCCAUAAUGUAAGCAACUCGGAUAUGAUCAAACCUGACAAAGAUUCCAAAGUCGAUUGAAAGAUCGGUUUGUGCGUCAUAUCAUAGAUGUGUACACACUAUAUUUGAUGAUAAGAUUACGUCAACGUUUAUUGUUAAAAUAAUCUUCAUUUUCUGCAACCAAUUACCAGUUUAACGUGUACAUCAACUGGACAAAAGUAAUUAAAUUGCUAUCAAUUAACACAAUUUGGGUCAUAAUUCCUACAAAGCGAUUUUUUUGUGAAGCUCACUUCGACCAAUAAAACACGGUGUAUAGGCUCGCUAGAUAAGACACAAUAGCCUUGAUUGAAUCUCAACAUACCAAUACCUACAUUGAUAUAUAUUGACGACACAAAAAAUAGGAUUCAGAAGUGG